CUACGGGGAUGAUCCUUAACUUGAACUCUCUCUUUCUGAUGGCUCAGUGGAGAAAACAUAAAAACUGAGUAGC
ensembl:snoRNA SNORD26 Small nucleolar RNA SNORD26